rnacentral:rRNA from 1 species
GGGGAAUAUUGCACAAUGGGCGAAAGCCUGAUGCAGCAACGCCGCGUGAGUGAUGAAGGUCUUCGGAUUGUAAAGCUCUGUCUUUGGGGACGAUAAUGACGGUACCCAAGGAGGAAGCCACGGCUAACUACGUGCCAGCAGCCGCGGUAAUACGUAGGUGGCGAGCGUUGUCCGGAUUUACUGGGCGUAAAGGAUGCGUAGGCGGAUGUUUAAGUGAGAUGUGAAAUUCCCGGGCUUAACUUGGAGCUGCAUUUCAAACUGGAGAUCUAGAGUGCAGGAGAGGAGAAUGGAAUUCCUAGCGUAGCGGUGAAAUGCGUAGAGAUUAGGAAGAACACCAGUGGCGAAGGCGAUUCUCUGGACUGUAACUGACGCUGAGGCAUGAAAGCGUGGGUAGCAAAC